rnacentral:rRNA from 1 species
UACGGGGGGAGCAAGCGUUGUUCGGAUUUACUGGGCGUAAAGGGCGCGUAGGCGGUCAGCACAAGUCAGUUGUGAAAUCUCCGGGCUUAACUCGGAAAGGUCAACUGAUACUGUGCGACUAGAGUGCAGAAGGGGCAACUGGAAUUCUCGGUGUAGCGGUGAAAUGCGUAGAUAUCGAGAGGAACACCGGUGGCGAAGGCGGCGAUCUGGACGAUGACUGACGCUGAGACGCGAAAGCGUGGGGAGCAAACAGG